AACGAACGCUGGCGGCAUGCCUAACACAUGCAAGUCGAACGAAGGCUUCGGCCUUAGUGGCGCACGGGUGAGUAACGCUUGGGAAACUGCCUAUUGGUGGGGAAUAACGACGGGACACUGUCGCCAAUACCGCAUAAGCCCUUCGGGGGAAAGAUUUCUCGCCGAUAGCUGUGCCCGCGUCCGAUUAGCUAGUGGGUGAGGUAAUGGCUCACCAAGGCGACGAUCGGUAGCUGGUCUGAGAGGAUGAUCAGCCACACUGGGACUGAGACACGGCCCAGACUCCUACGGGAGGCAGCAGUGGGGAAUAUUGGACAAUGGGCGAAAGCCUGAUCCAGCAAUGCCGCGUGAGUGAUGAAGGCCUUAGGGUUGUAAAGCUCUUUCGGGUGGGACGAUGAUGACGGUACCACCAGAAGAAGCCCCGGCUAACUUCGUGCCAGCCGCCGCAGUAA
rnacentral:rRNA from 1 species